rnacentral:rRNA from 1 species
GAUGAACGCUGGCGGCGUGCCUAAUACAUGCAAGUCGAGCGAACAGACGAGGAGCUUGCUCCUCCGACGUUAGCGGCGGACGGGUGAGUAACACGUGGAUAACCUACCUAUAAGACUGGGAUAACUUCGGGAAACCGGAGCUAAUACCGGAUAAUAUAUUGAACCGCAUGGUUCAAUAGUGAAAGACGGUUUUGCUGUCACUUAUAGAUGGAUCCGCGCCGCAUUAGCUAGUUGGUAAGGUAACGGCUUGCCAAGGCAACGAUGCGUAGCCGACCUGAGAGGGUGAUCGGCCACACUGGAACUGAGACACGGUCCAGACUCCUACGGGAGGCAGCAGUAGGGAAUCUUCCGCAAUGGGCGAAAGCUUGACGGAGCAACGCCGCGUGAGUGAUGAAGGUCUUCGGAUCGUAAAACUCUGUUAUUAGGGAAGAACAAAUGUGUAAGUAACUAUGCACGUCUUGACGGUACCUAAUCAGAAAGCCACGGCUAACUACGUG